rnacentral:rRNA from 1 species
GACGAACGCUGGCGGCGUGCUUAACACAUGCAAGUCGAACGGAAAGGCCCUGCUUUUGUGGGGUGCUCGAGUGGCGAACGGGUGAGUAACACGUGAGUAACCUGCCCUUGACUUUGGGAUAACUUCAGGAAACUGGGGCUAAUACCGGAUAGGAGCUCCUGCUGCAUGGUGGGGGUUGGAAAGUUUCGGCGGUUGGGGAUGGACUCGCGGCUUAUCAGCUUGUUGGUGGGGUAGUGGCUUACCAAGGCUUUGACGGGUAGCCGGCCUGAGAGGGUGACCGGCCACAUUGGGACUGAGGUACGGCCCAGAGUCCAACGGGAGGCAGCAGUGGGGAAUAUUGCACAAUGGGCGGAAGCCUGAUGCAGCAACGCCGCGUGCGGGAUGACGGCCUUCGGGUUGUAAACCGCUUUCGCCUGUGACGAAGCGUGAGUGACGGUAAUGGGUAAAGAAGCACCGGCUAACUACGUG